GACGAACGCUGGCGGUGUGCUUAACACAUGCAAGUCGAACGGUAAGGCCCUUUCGGGGGUACACGAGUGGCGAACGGGUGCGUAACACGUGAGUAACCUGCCCUCAUCUCUGGGAUAACAGUCGGAAACGGUUGCUAAUACUGGAUAUGAGCUUGCAAGGCAUCUUGUGGGUUGGAAAGAUUUUUUUGGUUGGGGAUGGACUCGCGGCCUAUCAGCUUGUUGGUGAGGUAGUGGCUCACCAAGGCUUCGACGGGUAGCCGGCCUGAGAGGGCGACCGGCCACAUUGGGACUGAGAUACGGCCCAAACUCCUACGGGAGGCAGCAGUGGGGAAUAUUGCACAAUGGACGGAAGUCUGAUGCAGCAACGCCGCGGGCGGGAUGACGGCCUUCGGGUUGUAAACCGCUUUCAAUUGUGACGAAGCUUUUUGUGACGGUAGCAGGAGAAGAAGCACCGGCUAACUACGUG
rnacentral:rRNA from 1 species